rnacentral:lncRNA from 1 species
CGUCAUUUUAUAAAUAAAUAAUAAAAAUAAUUUCGGAAUUUGCCAACGGAGUCUAAACGAAAGUUGUAGAGCGUAGUCUCACCUACGCGUGGAUAUAAAGACCAUCGAAAACGGAGUUCGUAUGAAGAAGAUAUGAUUUUUUGAAGUUUAUUAAAUAAAUUAUAUAUAUAUUUAUGUCACACCCCGAAAACCGGAGGCGGAAACAUUUUCGGGGUUGACUCCAUGUUGAGUAUCAAAUCCAAUGUACAUAGUAAGUAAAGUAAUACAACCAUUACAUUACAUAUAGAAAAGUUUUACAUUUGUUUCAAAAGCAAAAGUUAUACAUGUGAUACAUAGUAUAUAUAAACAACACGAAAUGAGCCUUCUGAGAACUCCAUCUUCACCAAAAGAGAUAUUCGGUUACCUGUCUAAUGUGAACUUGAGAAUACAAGCGGUUUGAAAAUCAGCAUAAAGCUGGUGAGUUCAUAAGCGGUUAGUUUUUCUGAAAAUGUACGAGUUCCUUUGUUUUUCUUGAAAAAAUGGUUAUCCAAGAAAAUCCCAUAUUUUCUUAUGUAAAGUUAGUUUCCAAAUCCGAAAGUAAAGUAAACGAUAUACGAUGAAAACAUGAUUGUUCUUGUGAAUUGUAGUUCAUUUGUUUAACUUGCUACACUUUUCUAGUUACAUACUACUGAUACUCAUGAAGAACUCCAUGUUCACCUGACUGUGUGUGUGUGUGACUUGUUACCAGUUCUGAUUAUGUUCGAUGUCCUUCCUAGGAAAACCCCAUGUUUCCCUGACUAUGUGUGUGUGUCUUUACUGGUUCUGGUUAUGUUCGGUGUCCAUCCCAGGAAAAUCCCAUAUUUCCCUGACUGUGUGUGUUUGUGUGUACCUUUACCAGUUAUGGUUAUGUUCAUUAUUAUCCAUAAGAAAACCCCAUGUUUUCCUGAAUGUGUGUCUACUUGAUAUUCCGAAAUGUACAUUAGCUUUACUACGAAUAUAAAGCUAGUAAAAGAGUCCAAAGUGUUAAUAAUCUAGAUUGCGAGUCCUUAACCAUACUCAGACUAGAUAUGACUCGCGUCGGGGCCAGUAUCCUUUUUAUGACUUUCGUCACCCUUGAACCUUUCGGUUCGGCUGUAGCUAGCAGCGAGGUGUCGGAUUGUCAGUCCCGUAUAGAUCUAUACACUCAAGCCACGCUCUCCCACGAACGGAGAUUCUGGUUACAGGGUUAGUCCUCCACUAUCUUGUUCCAAGGGACAUGUUACCAAGGACGUGUCUCCAAUCUUUAAGAUUACUCAUCACUUCUCGCCUAGGGAAGUGGUAUCUAUGACAAACUAGAAUUUAAUGUACCUGUCCUUUACACUCGAUCCUAGGUGUAUUAUUAAGGACAUUACAGUCGAGCCUAGGUGUUAUUUAAUAAUGACUGUCCUUUACACUCGAUCCUAGGUGUAUUAUUAAGGACAUUACAAUUGAUUUGUGUGCUGUGAUGGUAUUUAUCUUUCACACUCGAACCUAGGUGUAUUGUUAAGGAUAUACAAAUAUUUUAUGUUUUCUAAUGGUGUCUGACUUUCACACUCGAACCUUAGUGUUUUAUUACAGACAUUACGAUGGUUUAUGUGCUUUAUCGAUUUAAAUGAGAACAAUCAAUCUAAAGAAUACAACAUAUCAAUAUAUUUUAAGAAUUGAAAAUCGGAUUAAAACACACAACCCUGCAAGUUAAAAUAGUUUGUUAAAAGGUUUUCAAUUCAUAAAAUGUACAAUUACGAAACCAUUUAAUUGAAAUCAUAAUUUUAAGUACAAACUAUUCUUGUACUUUUGCUUGUAUUCCCCCCCUGAAAACAUUGAAAAAAAACCAUUGAAAAAGGGUAGGGGUAUGAACUCACCGGACGAGAAACGUGACGAUUUCGGAUGCUAAACGUCGAAUCGAGGCCUGAUAACAUGCGAGGUUCCUAUGUAAAGUGAAAUGGCAUACAAAUAUAUCUAAUUAGAUUUACAAACUCUAAUUAGAUACGAAGCUACACUCCAACGAACGAAAACACCUCAAAACGGGUGUUUGGAGUGACUCGGGUGACAUCUACGGACAGGAAUUGAAGCGAGGGACUUGGGACUUGAGUUUACUCCCCAAGAGUAAACUUCCUAAUUGAGUUUAUGGCCUAAACACCCAUUCCCCAUGAGUUUCCGGCCGUAAACUCAUGGUGGGUGUGGUUUAUGGUGUUUAAUGGUUCAUAAAUGGGUAUUAAUACUUGGAAAUGCUUGGAAUAAUUUUACCUAAGGCUUGGAAUGGAUUAAAAUCACCAAAUACAACCUUUAAGGGAGUUUACGGCCUAGGCAUGGGAUCUAUGGCCGUAAACUCUCAUAUCUCUUAGAAUAGGUGUUGUUAAGGUCUCAAAAUCAAUCACAUGUGAUUCUAAAAAUUCCUACAAACCUAGAAAUGAGUUUUGGGCACCAUAUGACAUCUUUUUAGGAGUUUACGGCCAUGGGGCAUGUUCUAUGGCCGUAAACUCUCAAAUGUGAGGUUUUUUUGUGUUUAAGGUCCUUAAACUAUUUUUGGUAGACCCUACGAUUUAUUCCAAGGCUUUUGGUGGUGUUGGUUUGCAUUCUCACACCUUAGAAGUGAGUUUACACCCUUGAUUAAGGAGUUUACGGCCCAAGCACAAGCCUUGGCUGUAAACUCACACAAACUCAUCAAAAAUGUAUUUUUAAGGUGUUCUAGGAUUUACUACAAAGCUAUAGGUUAAAUUUCAAGGCAUUUUGACAUGUUUUAAGGUGUUUAAUCCCCAUUUUGAGGAGUUUAUGGCCCAAGAAGGAGCCUUGGCCGUAAACUCUCUUUUAUCCCAUAAAAUUCAUGUUAAAUGUGUUCUAUGUCCAUUGUCUAAAAAUCAUAUAUAAGGCUUGGUUGAGUUAUGGAAGGGUUAAAUGGCUUAAAACCUCUUUAAACAUGAGUUUACGACCAAAGCUUGUGCCUUGGCCGUAAACUCCUUAAAAUCUAUCAAAAUACAUGUUUCCAAUGUUCUAAGUCUAUUCCAUGAAGUCAUAUAGCCAUAUCUAAAGUCCAAUUGAGGUUUGGAAGGGUUUUGUUGCUCCAAAAACCCCUUUUAUAUGAGUUUACGGCCUAGGAUAGUUCUAGGGCCGUAAACUCAUGAUAAUGGCCUUAAUCCAUAGUUUGAACUCUAAUUUGAAGGCUAAAGAGGUUGCAUAACUAAUUAGGGAAGGUACCUUGGUGAUUUGAAGCCUUAAACUUGAGAUUUUGACCCUUAAAUCUAAUUUGAGGAGAGAGGUUGGAGUGAAAGUUGUAGAAUGGAGCAAAGGCUUCAAAAUGGAGACUUGGACCACUUUAAAUAGUGUCUAAGUUCGGGACACGUUAGAAUUCUACCCGAUACCGGCGUUGGACGAGGCUUUUGGUCGCACCUGGCCAAUUUGCCGUAAUCCGAUAUGGCUGAUUCUAGAAAUGUUCUGAUCAUUAAUGCGAGACGUUAGAAUGAGUUCUAAGGGUAUUAGGACACUUAUUAAUUCAUAAAAUAAAACUCACAAUAACGACUUAAUAAAACGUCGGAAACGGAAAUGAAAUCGGAAACGGCGAUUUGGAUGAUCGGAACGAGUCGCGAAAAGGGUUUCAAUUAGGGAUAUGAAUUCCGGGUUGUUACAAUUUAAUUCAAAAAUCCAGUAAUAUCCGAAGAGGAGUCAGCGUCCUCAUCCGAGGUACGCGCCACGUAACCCCGUACGCCCUGCGUACCCGAGGGCCUUGGUCUCGGUCCGUCCACGUCGCCCCUAUGCGAAACUACCGACCCGCCCAUCCGACCCGCCAUCCCAUCCGAAGCCGAGGCAGUCGAGGACUUGGUCAUGCAUGACGUACGAGUACGCGCUGCGUACUAGCGUACGCCCCGCGUACCGAGGCAUCUCAGACCCCUAUAAAUAGAAUGCGAAGGCUUCCGAAAAACUUGCUCAUUUCUUCUCUUUUCCCUUGCGUUUUGCCUCGUUUUCCGUGCCCGUUCAAACCCGAAGCCCUGGUCAUUUUUACUCAAGUCCCGAGGGUCGAUUUUACUCCUGAGAUUCUCGAGAAUCCCGAGAAAAAUCCGUUUCCCGAGACGAAACUCUGCCCGGUUUUCCAUCUCGCUGUCUUCAAACUUUCAAGUGAGUUCAUACCCCUUAAUUUACCUUUUAAAUGUUCUAUAAAUUCUUUUAUAUGCUUUCAAGGGGGGGAAUACAAGUAAACCACACGAGUAUUAUCGUGUGUUACAUAAAGAACUAUUUUAUAUGCUUUUAUAUAUCCAAAUCACAUGCGAUUUACAAACUUUAUAGGGAACUUUUAUAUAUAAAAUAUGUUACAAUAGCAUUCUAUCUUUUGGAAUAUAAAUUGUUCUAAUGCAUGUAUAAACUAAACAUUUUCUUAGAUUAUAUGUAUAUUUUUCUAUCUUAGGCUCUACAAAAAUCUAUGCUUCCAUAACAAAUGAUUCGUUUUCUAGGUAGUUCUGAACAAACAAGACUCACUUUUAAAACUAUAAUANGUUCUGAACAAACAAGACACACUUUUAAAACUAUGAUAGGUAUAGUUUUACGAACAAAAUUUCUAACUCUUACGUACUAAAAACACGAAUUUCAAGAAGUCACUUUCAUAUACAAAAACAAAUGAAACAUUUUAACGAGUAGAUCUGUUUUUAUACACCGGUUUUUGUGAGACACUAACUUCACGUACGUUCGAGUACACAUCUCAAGUCCUGUACCAUAUACCAGAAUCCCUUGGAGGGGGGCAUGGUGUUUGUGUAUAGAUCUAUACGGGCUUCACAACCCGCGCCCUGACUGUUAGCUACAGUCCACCGUUUGGGGUGACAAACGUCAUAACAUUCCAACGCCUGAAGAACUUUGUGCAUAGGUAUUCCGAGUCAAUAGUAUGGUUAUAAAACUCACAUGGGGUAUUAAAAAUGCAUUGAUUUACAAGGUUUUCAAACACAUUCGUUAUUUUACACUUACAUACAUUUUAGAAACAAACAUUGGUCUUGAGUGAAGGCUACUUUUAUACUAGUAGAAAAUAUAGGAUUUUCUAAACACAAACAAACAAAGACAAAAAAUUUCAUUUCAUACAAACAUUGUCACUUAAAUACUUAUGAAACUCACCAGCUUAAAUGCUGAUCUACUCUUUCAAAAUUACUUGUAUGUCCCAGGAAAUCAGUAAUUUCAGGUAUUCAUUACGCUUUUGAUGAAGGGAUGUUGCGGCGCCAGUUUAAUCUCGUAUUUUGACAUCAUAUUGUAAUUGGUUUUGAACAUGUAACUUUUGACAAAUGUAAACUUUCAAUUAUAUAUAUGAUGGUUGUAUUGCUUUCUUUACUAUGUAUUCAUUUGUUACGUUACCACAUGAAGUCAUCCGCCCCCGAACGUUUCCGCCGUUCAGGUUUGGGGGUGUGACAGAUUGGUAUCAGAGCAAUGUUUAUAGUGAACUAAGUAUAUCGAAUCACAUAAGAUAUACAAACUAUAAAUGCUUAAGGGACUAAUACUCUCUGACAAAACAACUUUUCUUUUUACGCUUAAGCAGCGUUAGGUUUAACUUAAAUUGAUAGUUCAUUUAAGUACAAUUACAUGCAUACAACAAAUUAUUUUCAUGAUAUCUAACUAUACAACAAGUAUUUAGACAAGUUGACACUACGAUUAAGCCUCAAUAUAUGUAAUCAGAUUUUGGACAAAUAUAGCGUGAUCAACUAUAUUUGCACGAGAUUGGACCAACGUAUAUCGAGGAAUGAUCGUAGUAAGCAACAAGUCAAAACUUACCAAACCAUUACAAGAAUCAAACACAAGAAUUUUAAUAAUAUAGGAGCAUUUUCUACCUAAACUAGUUUAACUUACACGUUUUGCAUGUUUCAACUUUAUUCAAUUCUUAUAACCCUAUUUCUCGUACAGUCAAAUGGCUGGAUAUCACCACCCCGACGACCCCUACUUUCCCAACCAAGGUAACGGAGGAUGGAUCGAAGAUGAUCCCGAAGAGGACGAGGAACCCAUAGAAGUGGAUGAUGACUUUGGUACCGACUCAGAGCCGGAAGUGAUCGAUCUACCACCCGUUCAACCUCCCGUCUUCGUAAGGAACUUUCAAGGACCGACUCCCGUCUGGGGAAGUCACCUCCAUCAUUGGAGCCAACAACAAGGCAUACGCCCUCCCUACGGCAUGUGCCGGGACUUCUAUGAUGUCCGCGGCGGAGGUUCAGCUGAUCGGGCACUCCAGGUAAUGGUGGGUAAGCUAGCCAAUCAGUCCUAUCAGUCCGGAGUUCAAGCUAGCCGACUCCGAGAUGUCAACGUGGAAGUGCAGGUUCACACUUCUUACAUCCGUAGGUUGGACAAGAUACAAGACAAUACUCAACUCCAAACCGAGGCAUUCCAAGCGCAAAUGAUUGCAGCCCUCGCUGAACUGAGGGAACAACAAGCCGCUUUUGAUAGGCGUCUGAUGGAGUCGAAGCAAUCAGAUGCAGAGUCAAGCUCCAAGCGUAACCUGCGUCGCAAGUAGUGCUUGUCAUAGACUCAAAUUUUGUUAUAGCUUAGGACAUUGGCUAAAAGUCUUUAAAUUUCUCGAACUUUGUAAUCGGAGACCCUUAUAGGGGUCAAAUUUUCAUGAUCGUUGUAACAACUUUUAUAUUAAUAUAAGUGACACUAUUAUUACUACGUUGAGUAUUUCGUUCAAACCUUGAAAAGUCUUUGAGAAACCAAAUACUUGUUUCAUACUUUCAGUCUUACAAAUAACUUUCAUUCUUCUAUUUUAAGACUCAUACUAGCAUCUGUUGUUGAACUAUAGCAAUUUAGUUCAUGAGACACAUUAAUUUUCUAUUCUAUGGAAUUCUUAUCUUUACCUUUUCAACCUAUAGUUGAAGGAUGCCUCCGCGUAGGAAUCCAAGGCGAAGCAACGGUGGGGAAGCACCUGUACCACCACCACCUCCACCACCUCAAUUUGAUGCUGUUAUGUUCCAAGCAGCAGUCACCGCAGCAGUAGCAGCUGCCAUGUCACAGAUCAAUAACUCGAGUACUAAUGGCUCGGGAUCUGGCACACACCCAUCCAACCAUGGCGAGAGUCAUGGACCACCCCGAGAAUCUACCUAUAAGGACUUCACUAAUGCCAAGCCCCAGAUGUUUUAUGGAACUGGUGGUGUGAUGGCCCUGAGGCAGUGGAUUGAAAGGACGGAGGCAGUCUUUGAAAUCUGCUCCUGUCCCAAGCACAGCAAAGUCAAAUUUGCAACUUUCACCCUUAUUGAUAGAGCUUUAACUUGGUGGAAUGGCCACGUUAAAGUACUUACCCUAAUAGUGGCAAACUCCAUAAGCUGGGAGAGCCUAAAAGCCAUGAUGAUGAGAGAAUACUGCCCACGGGGAGAGAUUCAAAAGCUCGAACACGAACUAUGGACUCUCGGAAUGGUUGGUACCGACAUCGCUACUUAUAUGAACAGAUUCUGCGAGCUGGCAAUCCUUUGUCCAGAUAUGUUGCUCCCGAGAGCAAGAAAAUAGAAAGGUACAUCUGGGGACUGACGCCCCAAAUACGAUCAAGCGUGUUAGCUUCCAAACCUGACACCUUUGUAAGUGCUAAGGAACUGGCACAAUCUCUGAUUGACUACGGAGGUCAUCAGAACUAAACCUCUUCUACUCCAGAACCACAGAAAGGAAACAACAACAACAACAACAGCAACAACAACAACAACAACAACAAUAGCAGGAAGAGGGUAUGGAAUAAAAGGAAGGGUGGGUCUUCCCAAGAAUCCGCAAAGAAACAACUGGUUUCAGUGAAUGCUGCCACUGUACCUACUACAGCUCCUACAAAUACCUACCCAACAAAGCCUUAUGUAGGUAACCUUCCAAAGUGCACCAAAUGCACUUACCACCACCAUGGACCUUGUCGGGAAAUGCAGUGCGCCAACUGCAAUAGAAAGGGACACACAGCCUGUUUCUGCAAAGACCCCACAAAGCCGAUCACUCAAGUUCCCAGUGCGGGUGUAGGCCAGACUUGCUACGGUUGUGGCUAGGUGGGCCACUACAAGAGGAACUGUCCUAAGGCAGCAGGCACCGAUAGUGUGGGACUUGUUUUGGCAAUCUGCCACGACGAAGCUAUUGCUGACCCAACUAUAGUUGCCGGUACGUUCCUUCUCGAUAAUUCUUAUGCAUGCAUAUUAUUCGAUAGUGUAGCGGAGAGAAGUUUCGUGAGUCAAAACUUUAUUCAUUUACUUAAACCUAAACCUAACAAGCUAGAAAAAUCAUUCACUGUAGAGAUGGCCAAUGGAAAAACCGAAAACACUAACUGCAUAUACAUGGGUCGUGGCCAUUCUUUUCCAAUCAAUCUCAUGCCGGUCCAAAUUAAAAGUUUCGACGUCAUAGUCGGCAUGGAUUGGUUGAGUCUUCUUCGCGCCGACAUCAUGUGCUUUGAGAAAGCAGUCCGUCUUAAUCUCCCUAACAACGAAACAUUAGUUAUCUACGGCGACAAAUCAAGUACAAACCUUCCCAUCAUUUCAUGCAUCCAAGCUCGAAAGUGCUUGCGGAAGGAUUGUCGAGCAUUCCUAGCGCACAUCGUUGAUGCAAGUCAAGAACUGAAGGACAUCAAGAACAUCUCGAUAGUACGCGAUUUUCCCGAUAUCUUUCCGGAAGAACUACCAGGAUUACCAUCGCAACGCCAAGUCGAGUUCAGAAUCGACUUAGUUCCAGGGGCUACCCCAGUAGCGAAGUCGCCUUAUCGCCUCGCACCAGUAGAGAUGAAGGAACUUUCCAGUCAUCUUAAUGAACUCCUUCAAAAAGGAUUCAUAAGACCAAGUGUCUCACCUUGGGGAGCACCGGUCUUGUUUGUAAAGAAGAAAGACGGAUCGUUCCGUAUGUGCAUCGACUACAGAGAGCUGAACAAACUUACUGUCAAGAACCGUUAUCCUCUACCCCGUAUUGACGACCUAUUCGAUCAACUUCAAGGAGCAAACUACUUCUCAAAGAUAGAUCUACGAUCCGGAUAUCACCAAUUACGAGUUCUAGAGGGGGAUAUUCCAAAGACAGCUUUCCGAACUCGUUAUGGACACUACGAAUUUGUAGUGAUGCCGUUCGGAUUAACCAAUGCACCAGCAGUAUUUAUGGACCUAAUGAAUAGGGUAUGCCGUCCUUACUUGGAUCAGUUCGUCAUCGUCUUUAUCGAUGAUAUACUUAUCUACUCCCGAAGUGAGGAAGAGCAUAGUCAGCACCUACGAAAAGUCCUAGAAACACUGCGAACGGAGAAACUCUAUGCGAAGUUCUCUAAAUGCGAAUUUUGGAUUCGAAGAGUCGAAUUUUUAGGCCACGUUGUUAGCGAGAAAGGUAUACACGUGGACCCCUCCAAAAUUAAGGCUAUUGAGAACUGGUCGGCACCAAAGACACCUACAGAAAUUCGUCAAUUUCUAGGUUUUGCUGGCUACUAUCGCAGAUUCAUAAAGAAUUUCUCUAGCAUUGUAAAACCUCUUACCACAUUAACCCAGAAAGGCGUGGCCUUUGACUGGGAAGCGAAACAAGAGAAGGCAUUCCAGACACUAAAACAGGCCUUGUGCACCGCACCGAUACUAUCCCUCCCCGAAGGGAUAGAAGACUUCGUAGUGUAUUGCGAUGCGUCAAAUCAAGGACUUGGUUGUGUUCUUAUGCAGAGAGGGAAGGUUAUUGCUUAUGCCUCCCGACAGCUUAAGACACACGAAGUGAACUAUACGACACACGAUCUCGAGUUAGGAGCAGUGGUAUUUGCUCUGAAGAUCUGGAGGCACUACUUAUACGGAACAAAGAGUACUAUUUUCACCGAUCACAAGAGCCUUCAACACAUUUUCGAUCAGAAGGAACUCAACAUGCGACAACGACGAUGGGUUGAGUUACUAAAUGACUACGAAUGCGAAAUUCGUUAUCAUUCUGGCAAGGCCAACAUGGUAGCUGACGCCCUCAUUCGAAAGGAAUACACUGGUCGGAGGCACAAAUGGAAGCUUUGCAACCGGAAAAUAUGGCGGGUGAAUCCCUGCGAGGAAUGGAAAAGAAUCUAGAAGUUAAGGGUGGCGGAGCCUACUAUCCCUUGGACCGAAUCUGGACCCCGAAACAUGGUGGUUUCAGAAACGUAGUGAUGACCAAAGCUCACAACUCAAGAUAUUCCGUUCACCCGGGUUCAGAUAAAAUGUAUCUGGAUCUUAAGAAACUGUACUGGUGGCCUAACAUGAAAGCAGAAAUUGCUACCUUCGUAAGUAAAUGCCUUACUUGCGCUAAGGUUAAGGUCGAGUAUCAGAAACCAUCAGGAUUACUACAACAACCAGAGAUACCAGAAUGGAAAUGGGAGCGGAUUACUAUGGACUUCAUAACCAAGUUACCCAAGACGACAAAUGGACUCGAUACCAUAUGGGUCAUCGUUGACAGAUUGACAAAAUCCACACAUUUCCUACCCAUCAAGGAGACUGAAAAAAUGGAAAAGCUUACAAGAACUUACUUAAGGGAAGUAGUGCGAUUGCAUGGUGUUCUGAUAUCCAUUAUCUCUGAUCGAGAUAGUAGAUUCACUUCAAGAUUCUGGCAGUCAGUACAAAGUUCCUUGGGGAGUAGGCUAGACAUGAGUACAGCCUACCACCCACAAACAGACGGGCAAAGUGAGAGAACGAUACAAACUUUAGAAGAUAUGCUGAGAGCUUGUGUGAUUGACUUUGGAAAGGCAUGGGAUAUCCAUUUACCCCUUGUCGAAUUUUCAUACAACAAUAGUUAUCAUACAAGCAUAAAGGUUGCUCCGUUUGAAGCCCUCUAUGGUCGAAAGUGCAGAUCCCCUCUGUGCUGGACUGAAGUUGGCGAUACCCAGUUAGCUAGAGGAAGAGUUCCUGAAAGCACUCUCACCGGUCCGGAAAUCAUACGAGAAACGACAGAGAAGAUCGUUCAGAUUCGUGAACGAUUGAAAGCCUCUAGAGACCGACAGAAAAGCUACGCUGACCAAAGGAGGAAACCUUUGGAAUUCCAGGUAGGAGACCACGUUUUUUUAAAGGUCUCACCGUGGAAGGGUUUAAUAGAUUUUGGAAAGCGUGGGAAACUAAGUCCAAGAUACAUAGGGCCUUUCGAGAUUAUUGCCAGAAUCGGGCCUGUGGCUUACAAGCUUAACCUACCAUGUGAACUUAGUAACAUACAUCCAACCUUCCACGUCUCUAACUUGAAAAAGUGUCUGUCCGAUGAGACUCUUGUUAUUCCACUCGACGAGGUCGAGAUCAACGAGAGCCUCAACUUUGUGGAAGAACCAUUAGAAAUCAUGGACCGGGAGGUCAAACAAACAAAACAAAGUCGCAUACCCAUCGUGAAGGUUCGCUGGAACGCCAAGCGGGGACCUGAAUUCACAUGGGAACGCGAAGAUCAGAUGAAACAAAAGUACCCUCAUCUCUUUCAUGUUCACUAGUAUCUUUACUACUUUAAAUUUCGGGACGAAAUUCCCUCUAACGGGGGGAUGAUGUGACAACCCGAUAUUUCAACUCUUUGUAAUGACCAAAAAAGUCAAGUAUUGUAACCACUUUUGAGUUAAUAAAAUUAACUUUGAUAAUAAAAUGUCCAAAAAGUUCUAUUUAAAUUCCUUCUAUGUUUAAAUGUCAUUAAACCAUGAUCGUACGUAAAAAGAACGCCCAAAUCCGACUUCGUAUAUUGAAGUUAUGAUUUUUCCAAGUUCGGCUUAGCAACAGACAACUAAAAACUCGAAUCGGAGAUCGAGCGACUUUUGGCCGGAAUGACCUAAACGAGAAUCGAAGGUCUCGGCAAUGGUAUUUCAGCGGUAAAAAGUCUGGCAAAAACCGACAUCAGAUAAAGAAGUUAUGAAUUUUCAAAGAAAUUCCUUAAACACGAUGAGUUUAAUAUAAAUAAUAAAAAAAAUAAUUUCGGAAUUUGCCGACGGAGUCUAAACGAAAGUUGUAGAGCGUAGUCUCACCUACGCGUGGAUAUAAAGACCAUCGAAAACGGAGUUCGUAUGAAGAAGAUAAGAUUUUUUGAAGUUUAUUAAAUAAAUUAUAUAUAAAAAUAAAUCAAAAAUCAGGUAAUAUCCGAAGGAGGAGUCAGCGUCCUCAUCUGAGGUACGCGCCGCGUAACCCCGUACGCCCAGCGUACCCAAAGGCCUUGGUCUCGGUCCGUCCACGUCGCCCCUAUGCGAAGCUACCGACCCGCCCCAUCCGACCCGCCCCAUCCGACCCAUCCCAUCUGAUCCGUCCCAUCCGAAGCCGAGGCAGUCAAGGACUCGCUCAUGCAUGAGGUACGCGUACGCGCUGCGUACGAGCGUACGCCCCGCGUACCGAGGCUUCUCAGACCCCCUAUAAAUAGAAAUGCGAGGGUUCCGGAAAAAUCACCCCAUUUCUCUCCUUUCUCUCACGAUCUUGCCUCAUUUUCCGUGCCCGCACUACCCCGAAGCUCUAGUCUUUUUGCUCAAGUCCCGAGGGUCGAUUUUACUCCCGAGAUUCCUGAGAAUCCAGAGAAAAAUCCGUUUCCCGAGACGAAACUCUGCCCGGUUAUAAUGAAAUCCUAUCUUUAAUGAUAUAAAUUGUUGUAAUGCAUGUAUAAACUAAACAUUUUCUUAGAUUAUAUGUAUAUCUUCCUAUCUUAGGCUCUACAACAAUCUAUGCUUCCAUAAAAGAUGAUUCCUUUUCUAGGUAGUUCUUAACAAACAAGACACACUUUUAAAACUAUAAUAGGUAUACUUUUACGAACAAAAUUUCUAACUCUUACGUACUAGAAACACGAAUUUCAAGAAGUCACUUUCAUAUACAAAAACAAACGAAACUUUUUAACAAGUAGAUUUGUUUUUAUACACCGGUUUUUUUGUGAGACACUAACUUCAUGUACGUUCGAGUACACAUUUCAAGUCCUGUAUUAUAUACAAGAAUCCCUUGGAGGGGGAGCAUGGUGUUUGUGUAUAGAUCUAUACGGGCUUGACAACCCGUGCCCUGACUGUUAGCUACAGUCCACCGUUUGGGGUGACAAACGUCAUAACAUUCCAACGCCUGAAGAACGUUGUGUAUAGGAAUUCUGAGUCAAUAGUAUGGUUAUAAAACUCACAUGGGGUAUUAAAAAUGCAUUGAUUUACAAGGUUUUCAAACACAUUGGUUAUUUUACACUUACAUACAUUUUAGAAACAAACAUUGGUCUUGAGUGAAGGCUACUUUUAUACUAGUAGAAAAUAUAGGAUUUUCUAAACACAAACAAACAAAGACAAAACAUUUCAUUUCAUACAAACAUUGUCACUUAAAUACUUAUGAAACUCACCAGCUUAAAUGUUGAUCUACUCUUUCAAAAUUACUUGUAUGUCCAAGGAAAUUAGUAAUUUCAGGUAUCAUUAUGCUUUUGAUGAAGGGAUGCUGCAGCGCCAGUUUAAUCUCAUAUUUUGACAUCAUAUUGUAAUUGGUUUUGAACAUGUAACUUUUGACAAAUGUAAACUUUCAAUUAUAUAUAUGAUGGUUGUAUUGCUUUCUUUACUAUGUAUUCAUUUGUUACGUUACCACAUGAAGUCAUCCGCCCCCGAACGUUUCCGCCGUUCAGGUUUGGGGGUGUGACAGAUUGGUAUCAGAGCAAUGUUUAUAGUGAACUAAGUAUAUCGAACCACAUAAGAUAUACAAACUAUAAAUGCUUAAGGGACUAAUACUCUCUGACAAAACAAAUUUUCUUUUUACACUUAAGCAGCAUUGCGUUCAACUUAAAUUGAUAGUUCAUUUAAGUACAAUUACAUGCAUACCACAAAUUAUUUUCAUGUUAUCUAACUAUACAAGUAUUUAGACAAGUUGACACUACGAUUGAGACUCGAUAUAUGUAAUCAGAUUUUGGACAAAUAUAGCGUGAUCAACUAUAUUUGCCCGAGAUUGGACCAACGUAUAUCGAGGAAUGAUCGUAGUAAGCAACA